CCCUACGGGACGCAGCAGUGAGGAAUAUUGGUCAAUGGGCGGUAGCCUGAACCAGCCAAGUAGCGUGAAGGAUGAAGGUUCUAUGGAUUGUAAACUUCUUUUAUAAAGGAAUAAAGUGAGGCACGUGUGCCUUUUUGUAUGUACCUUAUGAAUAAGGAUCGGCUAACUCCGUGCCAGCAGCCGCGGUAAUACGGAGGAUCCGAGCGUUAUCCGGAUUUAUUGGGUUUAAAGGGAGCGUAGGCGGAUUCUUAAGUCAGUUGUGAAAGUUUGCGGCUCACCCGUAAAAUUGCAGUUGAUACUGGUAG
rnacentral:rRNA from 1 species